rnacentral:rRNA from 1 species
AAUAAGCGGAGGAAAAGAAACCAACAGGGAUUGCCCCAGUAACGGCGAGUGAAGCGGCAACAGCUCAAAUUUGAAAUCUGGCGCAAGCCCGAGUUGUAAUUUGCAGAGGAUGCUUUUGGUGCGGUGCCUUCUGAGUUCCCUGGAACGGGACGCCGGAGAGGGUGAGAGCCCCGUACAGUUGGACACCAAGCCUUUGUAAAGCUCCUUCGACGAGUCGAGUAGUUUGGGAAUGCUGCUCAAAAUGGGAGGUAAAUGCCUUCUAAAGCUAAAUACCGGCCAGAGACCGAUAGCGCACAAGUAGAGUGAUCGAAAGAUGAAAAGCACUUUGAAAAGAGGGUUAAAAAGUACGUGAAAUUGUUGAAAGGGAAGGGCUCGUGACCAGACUUGCGCCCGUCGGAUCAUCCGGCCUUCUGGCCGGUGCACUCCGGCGGGCUCAGGCCAGCAUCGGUUCUUCUGGGGGGACAAAAGCGGCGGGAACGUAGCUCCUCCGGGAGUGUUAUAGCCCGCCGCAGAAUACCCCCGGGGGGACCGAGGACCGCGCUUCGGCAAGGAUGCUGGCGUAAUGGUCACCAGCCACCCGUCUUGAAACACGGACCAAGGAGUCAAGCAUUAGGGCGAGUGUUUGGGUGUCAAACCCGCACGCGAAAUGAAAGUGAACGCAGGUGAGAGCUUCGGCGCAUCAUCGACCGAUCCUGAUGUUUUCGGAUGGAUUUGAGUAAGAGCCUUACCGCUUGGACCCGAAAGAUGGUGAACUAUGCUUGGAUAGGGUGAAGCCAGAGGAAACUCUGGUGGAGGCUCGCAGCGGUUCUGACGUGCAAAUCGAUCGUCAAAUCUGAGCAUGGGGGCGAAAGACUAAUCGAACCAUCUAGUAGCUGGUUACCGCCGA